UGGGCGGCGGCGCUCGAGCGCUGAUUGGGCAGCGCUGCCGGCCCGCGGUAUAAAGGGCCGGCGGGGCGGGUGGGGUCGGUUGUGUGUGAGGGCUGAGGGUGCGGCCUCGCUGCUGCCCGGGCUGCGGAGGGGAGAGCGCCUUGGCCGCUGGCCUGGCUCGUGGUUUCCCCUGGUGCUGGGGAGUGGAGGCGAGUUGUGCUUCCUGCUGGGAGAGAGAAGGGCCUUGGGAAGCUGCUCCAUGAGCCACAGCUGUGCCGAGCCCGGGAGUCUGUCCAGCAGGAUGUCGAGUGCCACCGUGUCUCUGAGGUUCCCCUUUCUGCUGUUGGGAGAGCACGAGGUGGAUGGAGAGGAUCCCCAGCCAUCUGCAGGCAAAAGGGACUCGCACAACUGCGAUUUUUCUCCAGGUCUCUUAAGGUGGACUUUCAGGGUACCAUGGGUAAUGUGCCAGCUCUCCUGCUGGAGUUUUUGUCUUCUGCUAUAUUUGAACAUACAGAGUAAAACUAAAGUCAGGACGUGAAUGCAAGAACCUGCCAAGAAACCAAUGGCCAAGAUGAUUGAUCAGUGCAGGACCUGAGAGAACCAUCUUCAAUGACAACCUUAGGUUUAAAAGAUGGCUGUUGCUUUUGAAGGAGAAAAUCUGGAAAGCAGGAAGGAAAAAAAGAAGCCCCAUGACUCCUCCCUGAGCCCCAGACAGCCCAUGAACUGCCUUCCUGGGAAUGGUAGGACAGGAUGGACUCUGGAUUGCUCCCUCUGGAUGUGUGGCUCUCCCCUGCAGGAACUCCAGGAACUCCUGGUGCCGCCUGGGCCGAUGGAUUGGACGCCCCAGCCCCUCCGUUCCUGCCCAGCCACUGGGUCUGUGUCCAGUGGUGGCACUGCCAGCCCUGCAGUGGGAUGUAGCCUGGAAACCACACAGAGCUGAGCCAAGGGAUUGAAAGGGACCAACCAAGGGAGGUGAAGAAAGAAGGAAGAAGGGAACUGAGGCAGUAGACAAGCACCUCUAAGUUACACUGAAAACAGUGGGAUGUAGCCUGGAAACUGCACAGAGCUGAGCCAAGGGAUUGAAAGGGACCAACCAAGGGAGGUGAAGAAAGAAUUAAAGUGAGGCAGCAGCCAAGCAGCAGCAAGUUGCUGUGUAAGCAGGCCAGGCCAAAGCCCUGAUCCAGCCCAGCUCUGCCAAGUGCCCUGGGCUGGGAGCAGCCAAAGGCAAGAGGCUGCAGCCCCGCCGGCCGGGCUGGGGGCUCCUGGUGCUGCCCGUGGGGUGGGGUAAGUCAGAGGGACACGUUUCUCUCCUCC